rnacentral:rRNA from 1 species
GCACAAGCGGUGGAGUAUGUGGUUUAAUUCGAUGCAACGCGAAGAACCUUACCUGGUCUUGACAUCCCGGAGACCCUUAGGAAACUAGGGGGUGCUUCCAUCUGGAAGAAUCUGGAGACAGGUGCUGCAUGGCUGUCGUCAGCUCGUGUCGUGAGAUGUUGGGUUAAGUCCCGCAACGAGCGCAACCCUUGCCUUUAGUUGCCAGCAGUUCGGCUGGGCACUCUAAAGGGACUGCCGGUGUUAAACCGGAGGAAGGUGGGGAUGACGUCAAGUCCUCAUGGCCUUUAUGACCAGGGCUACACACGUACUACAAUGGCCGAUACAAAGGGCAGCGACACUGCGAGGUGAAGCCAAUCCCGUAAAAUCGGUCUCAGUCCGGAUUGGAGUCUGCAACUCGACUCCAUGAAGUUGGAAUCGCUAGUAAUCGUGGAUCAGCAUGCCACGGUGAAUACGCUCCCGGGCCUU